AUUAGCAUUGUGGUCGUGGGACGGCUCGUAUCACCUCCAGUAGCUGCUGGAGGUUGCCCAGCAUUUGUUAAACAAUAUGGGCAGCACUUGCUUUCUCCUCCAGUGGACUGUUGGCUGCAUCUUGUAUCAGACACACCGUGGUGGGGCAUGUCAAUGAAGUGAUCUUAUCAUGGGUGCAUUUCUAGACAAGCCAAAAACAGAUAAGCACAAUGAGAAUGGGGUGGGCAAUGGACUUCGCUAUGGGUUGUCUAGUAUGCAGGGCUGGCGCAUUGAGAUGGAGGAUGCCCAUGCUGCUGUAGCCAAUCUUCCAGGUGUACUCAAGGAUUGGGCAUUUUUUGCAGUGUUUGACGGCCAUGCCGGUGCCAAAAUAUCUGCCCACUGUUCAGAACAUCUACUGAAUUCCAUCACAUCAGGCGAGGAAUUUCAACCAUCUUCUAUUGCUGAGUUUGAGACAGAUAGUGAAGAGAGAACUAUAAGUAAGAUAAAGAAGGGGAUCCAUGCUGGGUUUUUGAGGCUAGAUGAGUCCAUGCGCCAAAUGCCAGAGGUUGCCAGCGGAGAAGACAAAAGUGGCACAACGGCAGUAUGUGCCCUAAUAUCUCCAACGCAUGUUUUUGUAGCUAACUGCGGAGAUUCUCGUGGAGUCUUGUACCGAGCUGGUGGUAUUGGCUUCAGUACACAAGACCACAAGCCAGUCAAUCCCACAGAAAAGGAGAGAAUCCAAAAUGCAGGAGGAAGUGUGAUGAUUCAGAGAGUUAAUGGCUCUCUGGCGGUUUCUAGAGCACUUGGCGAUUAUGAGUACAAAAAUGUGGAAGGGAAGGGUCCCUGCGAGCAGUUGGUAUCCCCAGAGCCAGAGAUAUAUGUGGAGCGCCGGCAAGAUGACGAUGAGUUUUUAGUUCUGGCAUGUGAUGGAAUCUGGGAUGUCAUGACGAAUGAGGACCUGUGUGCCUUUGUGCGGUCAAGGCUUCUCAUCAAUAAUGAUCUUGAAGCUAUUACAAAUCAUGUUGUUGACACAUGCCUUCACAAGGGAAGCCGAGACAAUAUGAGUCUAGUACUGAUCACUCUGCCAGGGGCACCAAAGGUUUCAGAGGAAGCUGUGAAGAGAGAACAAGAACUGGAGGACUUGAUAGAAAAGAAAGUUACAGAAUUGUGCAAACAGGAGGGACAAGUGAGCAUGGCACAGAUAAUGCAAACCCUGGCUGACAUGAAUCUACCUAAUCUUCCCCCCGGUGGAGGCCUAACAGCAAAGCGAGGUUUUGUGGAUCAAUUAUUCAGAAAAUUGCGACCUGACUGUGCAAACUUGGAUAACAUGGAAGAAGUUGGGGAUUAUGGUGGACUGGGUGGUAAUUUGAUGUUCUUCCCAAGUACAUCCAUGCAAGACAAGCUAGCCUCCAUUUUGGAAAACUCCCGAUGCAGUGAUGACCCCUCAUAAGAAAGUUGGUGAGGAUGCAGGGUUGCUCAGGGUUAGGUUGAGGGUACAAGGAAAAUGAUGCCUACAGUAGUGAUUGUUGCACCUAGGGCCUCCUGAUCUUAUCACCGCCACAGCUACCAACAAAAGAAAAAAUAAAAAAAAAUUAAAGUGUUGAUGUGCUGAUGUUACAGUUUAUGCAAGCGUGCAGAAGCAUUCAACAGACAGGCCAAGUCCAGUGAUGUGUUGACCCUGGUGAAGCCUCAGUGAUGGUUUUAUACUCACUCUCCUUACUGUGGGUAUAGUAUUUCAUGGUACAUUUAAGUUUUCAGUUCUAUUGAGUGGAUGCAGAGUGUUGGAAUAUGUCUCCCUGGGUUCUUAAUGAUAAGUUACACUUAAAAUUGACUCCUGUAACUUAUUUAUGUAAAUUGAAGUUUGUAAUAAAUAUCCUCAAAGGAAAAUAAGUUAAUGUUUGCCAAGAUUUAUUAAAGAACUCAGUAACUCAUUUGCCAGCCACUCCACUCCAUGAAUAUAUAACAAUCCAAGAUACAUUAUCAGAACUGCAAAAUUGAUUCAGGUUGCGUAUGUUAUGUCUGACCUGAGACUUCACGUGUGGUUGAUGUCACUGAUUUAGGCCUAAAUAUUUUUGCAGUCAGAUGUGCUAGUUUCAUAUGUGAUAGUCCUAAUGCUUUCCCCUUACAGACGAAGCUUAACAUCACUUGUGAAUCACUGAGCGUGUAGCACCAGUCCAUUUUGGAAAUUUAUCCCAUUCUAAAGAUGACAGGUGAAAUUCUAUUGCAUUUACUUAAAAACUAAAUAUUAAUCCUGAAAAGUAGGUGCUCAGUACUCAGUGUGAUUCAAAGAUGAUUUAGGACUGUGCUUAGGAGACACCAAAGUUUGCCACCACAUAGAAAAUGAAGUGGAUGUUACAAGACAUACAUUCAUGUAAAACAGGGAUUAAUAUACUGUGUGGUGCCACAGGUGGUGUGUUGCUUCUGAGCACUGGUCAAAAGUGUCUCUUGAAGGAAAGUGUGUAAGAGUAUGUUAAUACAGUUGAUAAGUUUUAUGCUUUUCUCUGCAUACACCUAUAUUUCACCAUAUUUUGAAGUGAUGUUUGUAGAUAAAAUGUAAGACAGAAAAUUUUAUGUGUUCAUAGUUCUUCUGAGACUAUGUUCCAAUAGCAUCUUUGCUUCAUGUGCCUGUUUUCAAAAACCUUUAGUCAUUCAUCUAUUUUCAAAGCAAAUAAAUGACAAAAAGCCUAAUUCUGUUUUCAAUGCAAGUCAUUUCUUUGUGGAAUGGGGUUACUGCUUAGAGUUGGUGUGAUACAUAAUUUGGAGAAAGGUUCAGAUCUUACCUUUCUGUUCUCAUUUUUGUAUGGCUUGCAGUUCCCAUCACCCCCAACACCAGCCUAGCUUGUGUCGAAACUUUGCAGCAUUAUGAUACAAUGCAGGAGUGAAUACAUUUUUUCAUCACUUAUUUGAAGAGAAGUUGUUGGAUUACCAUAUGCAGUACAACUAUUUCAUUGAUUUUACACAACCUUAGUCAUGUUUUAUAACUUGUUUGAUUUGUGUGACCUCAAACUAUAUAUUUUCUCAAGGUUCAUAUAAUUUUAGCUCUCAAACAACUUUGGGAGACCUUAACAUUGCAUGACUAUUGCAUGUAGGAUCACAAUAACAAGAAACAAUUUAAUUAUUUCAUUUAAAAAUAAGCAAACAUCCUUCUACUAUAAAACUGUGAUUCUCAUUUUAUUCAUAGUAUCAGACAUCAUAUAUUGUUUCAUACAUUGUUCCCUAGAACUAAUAAACAAAUUUCUUCAAAUAACUAAUUGCUUAAUUAUGUUCAUCUUCAUCAGUACCACCUCCAAAGUCAGGUUGAACAUCAGAAAUGCUUCACUUGUGACCUUUUUUCUGAGCAAAAAUGCAAGUGCAGGAGUGUACAUUCCUAGAUCAAACCCUCCUGUCACCUAGGAGGUGCAGCUCUUUAUGAUGCCUCUUACAACACUGGAAUGUUGAAUAAUGUCAUUUUUAUCUCCAUGUAGUUUUGAAGAUAAAUAAAACUUGUAGUUUACCGUAAGUGGCAUGACAAAUUGUGAAAACAUUCAAAUAAAUUGUGAAAUCAUACUUACUAAGGUUAACGUGUGAUCACAGACAAAAAAUCAGUUGCUCUGCAUACAACUAGACAGCUUCAGACAACAGUUAUGAUAAUUUUUUAACAAAUUUGAGGUUAAUAAAACACUUUGGCAGACUAAAGCAUGUUUAGUAUUACCAAACAGUUUUGACGGACAUGCCACCACUGAAGAUUUUGGCAUUGUCCAUCAAAACUGUUUGGUAAAGAUUUAUAUCUUUCCACUGCCAGCAUGGGUUUUAUUCACUUCAAGGAAGGUCAUGUUAGUGUGACUACCCCAGUGUACCUGUGAAAGUUAAUUUGGUGAAGGUGUUUGGGAGGUAAUGAGAGUGAUGAAGGAUUCCUGGUGAAGAAAACCAAAUUAAAAUGGUGCAAGGUAAUGUGAGAAAAUAAGGAAGGGAGGCUAUGUUUGACAUGCACAUAGGAAACAUGGUUACAUUUACAUUAACUGUAAAAAAACUCAUUUUAGUUAAAUGUUGGGUAGUCAUACGAUAUUGUUUGACCAAGAACUGUGAAUGAUAAUGUAUUAAUUCUGUAAUUUGACUAUUAGUUAUAUUUCUUUGAAUUUACAAAGAGGGCAUUUAAACUAAGAUUAUAGGCAGAUAUAAAUUAAUGGUUGUACAUAAUUUUAUUUUGUGGUAUUCCCUUAGUGUCUGUUGAAAACAUUGACAUUUUCAGCAUCUAAUUUUCUUAAAGCCAGAGAUGGGUGCAAGACUGAAAAAAUUACAUUAUAUCUAUAGAUGCUAACUCCAGAAAUGUCACUAAACAUGUAUAAAUCCAUAACUUCUGUAUUUUGUCAAGCUUGUAUUAUAUUUGCAUUUCUGUUCAUUAAUUGAAUAUUGAAUAAGUGCCAGAAGAAGACUAUUAUAGAGCUACAUUUUUCUUUGCAGAAUGGACAGUUUUUUUUUCACUUGUGAUUAUUGAUUCAAUGUGUGCCAUAGAUUGUAUGUGUUCUAUUCUUUUAUUAAUCUUACAUACUGUACAUACUUGUGUAAAAGUCAAGUUUUUAAGGUUUAAGUUUAGGGGGUAGACUUUUUUAAAACACUUUUGGGUGGCUCAUUUAUUCCUUAGUCAAACCUUUCAUUGCCUUAGUAGGAGUCCAGCAGGCCUUUAAAUCAACAAAAAGAGAACAACAAAUUGCGGGAAGGGGGGAGGGUUAAUCGGCAAAAUUCAGGUUCUACAAUGAAAUAACAGGUCUCACUAAAUUCCUGAAAUAGACCUUUGUCACAUAUAUCUUAGCUAAAUAACAUUGUAGUUUUAUACAUUAUGAGAAUACUUCAUGCCAGUGCCCGUCCUGCAUCACAAUAUCUCAUGUUGUCUUUGUUGGGGUCACAUACCUUGCAGCUCUAUUUUAUUAUGGUAUACUAUUAUGUUUGACCAAUCUUUAAUUAUUUCAUGGCAACUUUAGGCACAAAAUUAUAUUACUAAGCUCUUCUUUUUAAAUUUUUAAUGUGUAUGUUAAAGUUGAAAUUAAAUACUAAUUAUCUCUGAAAUUGUACUGUGUACAAUUGAAACAAUUAAUAUUGAACAUAUCUAUAUGUAAUAUGAGGAGCUGAGUCUGCUAAAUGUAGAUUUUCCAGCAGGCACUCAUUGAUAAUGUUAACACUGAGGCUGUAAAUUCCAUUGAAUACAGCAUUUUAAUUACUUAAUACAUCACACAUGAGGCAUACAUUUAUUUGUUUAGCUUGAGAGGCAUAUCAUGAGUGGUAAUAAUGCUAUAAAUUGCAAGUUGCUAAGGUAUGCUGUGCUAUCGUGUAUACAUUCAGCAGAUGUUAUGGUAAAAAAAGGGGGGGGGUCCAAGUCCAAGUUUUCCAUGAGCUUGACUUAUACACAAGUAUGCAUGGUGCUCCAAACUGGUAAUCUAUCAUGGGUAUGGUGUUUAAUCAUGGUGUUGUGGUUUGUGAUGGUGGCCUUUUAAUUGUUAAGUAGAACCUUUUGUGGCCCUGUUAAUGGUAACGUACUUACAGAAUAUACCUUUGUAAACUACAUCAAGAGUUUGUAAAAGACCAUGACAUCAAGUUAAAAUUUGAAAGAUAAAUUUGUAUAAUUUCUCUGUGUAGCAAGCUUUAUUUCCUUUUGUACCAAAAAAAUGCAUUUGAUAUCAAGGUCUCCUCUGGAUUAAGCAACAUUCAUAUCAUCCUUUUUACCUUGUUAUUAGAAAUAUCAUAUUUUGUGAUAUGUAUAAAUCCUGAGUUGGAGUAUCAGCAUCAGGAUUCUCACAUAGUAUGUUGUUUUCAGCAGAGCCCAUCACUUCACAGAGUAAAAGGAAAGAGAUAUUGAUAAUGCAUUAAUUCUGGUUUUAAAGGUGCAGAUUUUGAAAGCACAAAAUAUUACUGUGGAAUUGAAAGCACUUCAUACACGAGAUAUUAUUGAUAUGCUUUGUAUUUUACAUGCUCAGGAAAUCAUACAAAUUUUAUAACAGAAAAUAGGCAUAUGAAAGUGGCAAUCAAUUAAUUUAUUUUAUUUCCCUUGUGCACUAUUACAAUAGUAUUUUUCACAUUUUUUUCUGUUUUGAAAUAUAUUUCCCAUAUGUAUGAUGAAAAGUAAAAAAAUAUCUGGUUGAUUGGAUA